UACGAGGGGGGCAAGCGUUGUUCGGAAUUAUUGGGCGUAAAGGGCGCGUAGGCGGUUUGACAAGUCUGAUGUGAAAUCUAUGGGCUCAACCCAUAGCCUGCAUUAGAAACUGUCGGGCUUGAGUAUGGGAGAGGUGAGUGGAAUUUCCGGUGUAGCGGUGAAAUGCGUAGAUAUCGGUAGGAACACCUGUGGCGAAAGCGGCUCACUGGACCAUAACUGACGCUGAGGCGCGAAAGCUAGGGGAGCAAACAGG
rnacentral:rRNA from 1 species